GGAGGGUGCAAGCGUUAUCCGGAUUCACUGGGUUUAAAGGGUGCGUAGGUGGGUAGGUAAGUCAGUGGUGAAAUCCCCGAGCUUAACUUGGGAACUGCCGUUGAUACUAUCUAUCUUGAAUAUCGAGUAGGUAAGCGGAAUAUGUCAUGUAGCGGUGAAAUGCUUAGAUAUGACAUAGAACACCAAUUGCGAAGGCAGCUUACUUCAAGAUUAUUGACACUGAGGCACGAAAGCGUGGGGAUCAAACAGGAUUAGAUACCCUGGUAGUCCACGCCCUAAACGAUGGAUACUCGACAUCAGCGAUAUACUGUUGGUGUCUGAGCGAAAGCAUUAAGUAUCCCACCUGGGAAGUACGACCGCAAGGUUGAA
rnacentral:rRNA from 1 species